AAUACCGAAUACACCCUGCUGGCUGCAUGGUCUGGUGGGGGAAAGCUUUUGCGGUGUGGGAUGGGCCCGCGGCCUAUCAGCUUGUUGGUGAGGUUACGGCUCACCAAGGCGACGACGGGUAGCCGGCCUGAGAGGGUGACCGGCCACACUGGGACUGAGAUACGGCCCAGACUCCUACGGGAGGCAGCAGUGGGGAAUAUUGCACAAUGGGCGCAAGCCUGAUGCAGCGACGCCGCGUGAGGGAUGACGGCCUUCGGGUUGUAAACCUCUUUCACCAGGGACGAAGCGCAAGUGACGGUACCUACAGAAGAAGGACCGGCCAACUACGUGCCAGCAGCCGCGGUAAU
rnacentral:rRNA from 1 species